GACGAACGCUGGCGGCGUGCUUAACACAUGCAAGUCGAACGGAAAGGCCCCUUUGGGGGUACUCGAGUGGCGAACGGGUGAGUAACACGUGAGUAACCUGCCCUUGACUUCGUGAUAACUUCAGGAAACUGGGGCUAAUACCGGAUAGGAAUCCUUGCUGCAUGGUGGGGGUUGGAAAGCUUCGGCGGUUUUGGAUGGACUCGCGGCUUAUCAGCUUGUUGGUGGGGUAGUGGCUUACCAAGGCUUUGACGGGUAGCCGGCCUGAGAGGGCGACCGGCCACAUUGGGACUGGGAUACGGCCCAGACUCCUACGGGAGGCAGCAGUGGGGAAUAUUGCACAAUGGGCGGAAGCCUGAUGCAGCAACGCCGCGUGCGGGAUGACGGCCUUCGGGUUGUAAACCGCUUUCAGCAGGGGAGAAGCUUGUGGUGACGGUACCUGCAGAAGAAGCACCGGCUAACUACGUG
rnacentral:rRNA from 1 species